GGAGGAUCAUUAUCGUAGGGCUUCGGCCCUGUCGAGAUAGAACCCUUGCCUUUUUGAGUACCUUUCGUUUCCUCGGCAGGCUCGCCUGCCAAUGGGGACCACAAAAAACACUUUGCAGUACCUGUAACAGUCUGAACAAACAAACAAAAAUUAAAACUUUCAACAACGGAUCUCUUGGUUCUGGCAUCGAUGAAGAACGCAGCGAAAUGCGAUAAGUAGUGUGAAUUGCAGAAUUCAGUGAAUCAUCGAAUCUUUGAACGCACAUUGCGCCCUUUGGUAUUCCUUAGGGCAUGCCUGUUCGAGCGUCAUUUAAACCUUCAAGCUAAGCUUGGUGUUGGGUGACUGUCCGCUUCACGGCGGACUCGCCUCAAAAUUAUUGGCGGCCGGUACAUUGGCUUCGAGCGCAGCAGAAACGCGAACUCGGGCCCGUCGUAUUGGCUCCCAGAAGCUAUCUUCACAAUGUUGACCUCGGAUCAGGUAGGGAUACCCGCUGAACUUAAGCAUAUCAAUAAGCGGAGGA
rnacentral:rRNA from 1 species